AUUGAACGCUGGCGGUAUGCUUUACACAUGCAAGUCGAACGGUAACACACCACAAGCUGCUUACUACUGGCGGACGGUUGCGUAAUGCAGCGGAACACGCCCGGAUGUAGUGUUUAGCUACUCGUAAGGUAGGGUAAUACACGCUACUACCUCUUACGACAUACGGGUGACAGUAGGGCAUCUUCCGACUUUGCGCGCCUAUAUGAGACGAUGUCGGAUGAGGUAGUUGGCGGGGUAAAGGCACACCAAGGCAACGAUCCGUAGCUGGUCUGAGAGGACGACCAGCCACACUGGGACUGAGACACGGCCCAGACUCCUACGGGAGGCAGCAGUGGGGAAUUUUGGACAAUGGGCGCAAGCCUGAUCCAGCAAUGCCGCGUGCAGGAAGAAGGCCUUCGGGUUGUAAACUGCUUUUGUACGGAAAGAAAAGGAUCUGGUUAAUACCCGGCGCUAAUGACGGUACCGAAAGAAUAAGCACCGGCUAACUACGUG
rnacentral:rRNA from 1 species